UGCACAGUGGAAUAGUGCCUGCCUGGGAGUAAGCGAACUCUGGUCCUGCUUACCAUUGUGACAUGCAUGAUAACAGGUUCCUUCCUUCUGAUCUGCACCGCCCCCCUCCUCAUCUAUAAAGUGAGGAGGUUGAGCUACAUGGCAUCUGACUUACUCCCAAUCUGACUGCUGUUUACUCUGAAGCCAUGUGAGUAUGAGGAGACAGAGAAGAGGGAAGGAUGUGGGACAUGUGGCCCAUGUGAGACAACUGACCCAGACGGGCUAAAGCGAGAGGAGGAGGAGGACCCAGUGGCUCAGAACUCUCAGCCUCAAGGGUGGAAACAGGACUGGGACACUGGUCUUCUCCUUCCUUUGGACUCAGACUCAGACUUAGACUGGAAUUUACAACAUCAACUCACCUGGGUUUCCAGCUUGCCAACUUCAGAUCUUGGACUUCUCAUCUUCUAUAAUCAUGAUCUGUUCCAGAAGGAACUGCUGGAUCAAAGCAUGUGCGAACUCUUAAGGCUUCUGAUACAUAUUGCCAAAUUACCACUCGAAGGACUUACCAGCAGUGAAUGGGAGAACCUCUUCCCCAGGGUCCUGACCCACCCAACCAUAAACACACAAUAAGGAAGUAAGGGGGAUGGGGGAGGGAUAUUAAUGUUUUAAUUUGUUCUUUUGUUUAUAAGUAAAGAAAAAUUUGUUUAUUCCUUAUGAUUAUUUGUAUUUUUUCUUUUAUAAAUACUCUUUGUUUAUUAUUCAAAUCAGCAUGCUCUUCUCCUUUUUGUUUGCAAGAAGAGAGAGAAACACUUAGAAGAUAGAAUCCCAUAUUUCGUUCCUCCUCUAUGGGCAGAGACAGGAGCUAAUAAGAAUGUAACAUGCAUUUGCAGACUU
rnacentral:lncRNA from 1 species